rnacentral:rRNA from 1 species
GAUGAACGCUGGCGGCGUGCCUAAUACAUGCAAGUCGAGCGGAAAGGCGCGGAUCUUGCGCGUCUCACGUUAGCGGCGGGCGGGUGAGUAACGCGUGGAUCACCUACCUAUAUGAGUGGGAUAACUUCGAGAAAGGGGAGCUAAUAACGGAUAAUAUAUUGAACCGCAGGGGGGGAUAGUGAAAGACGGUUUUGGUGUAACGUCUAGAUGGAUCCGCGCUGCAUUGGCUGGUUGGGUUGGUCAAGGCUUACCAAGGGAACGAUGCGUAGCCGACUUGAGUGGGGGAUCGCCCACCCUGGAAGUUGAACAGCGUCCAGAGUCCUACGGGAGGCAGCAGUAGGGAACCUUCGGCAAUGGGCGAAAGCUUGACGGAGCAACGCCGCGUGAGUGAUGAAGGUCUUCGGAUCGGAAAACUCUGUUACUAGUGAAGAACAAAUGUGUACGUAACUAUGCCCGUCUUGACGGUACCUAAUAAGAAAGCCACGGCUAACUACGUG